GGCCUGUUAGUUUAAGAGAAUGUUAGUUUGUGGAACUAAAGGUAUAACUGUUUACUGGCUA
rnacentral:tRNA from 1 species